rnacentral:rRNA from 1 species
UACGUAGGGGGCAAGCGUUAUCCGGAUUUACUGGGUGUAAAGGGGGCGCAGACGGCGAUGCAAGCCAGGAGUGAAAGCCCGGGGCCCAACCCCGGGACUGCUCUUGGAGCUGCGUGGCUGGAGUGCAGGAGGGGCAGGCGGAAUUCCAUGUGUAGCGGUGAAAUGCGUAGAUAUAUGGAGGAACACCGGUGGCGAAAGCGGCUCUCUGGCCUGUAACUGACACUGAGGCUCGAAAGCGUGGGGAGCAAACAGG